GAGAUUGGCCCUGGUUCUCCUUUUGCCCACAGCUCAGAAGUCACUUAAGGGUGCAAAGGUUAAGGCUGUCAGGCCAGGCUGUUUGAAAGCUUAAUGAAAUCUGAGAACAGUCUGAGUUGGAACAGGCCCAGAAGGAUCACCAACACCACCCCAAG